GUCUCUUUACAAGUUUGUGUCUCCCUCUUCCUCUAAGUCUCUCUUGGCUAUUUCUUUGUGUGUGUGUGUCAUGUGCGACAGAGGGUCUUCCUAGCCCCUUCCCAAAAGGUGCAGAAUAUCACCAGUGGAGCUGUUCCUCGUGCCCUGAGAAAUAAGCGAAGACAAGAUCCAGCACUCUGGUCAGGACCGAAGUAGACCCGAAAGGAACACGUGUAAAGAAAGAUCCAAAGUGGAAGACAGCCUUAAGGACCAAGAUACACAGAAGGCCUAUCUGAGCUGGCUGGAAAGUUUGAGUCUCAAGUUGGAUGGACAGAAUGCUGACAACCCAUAGAAGGACUGUUUCUACAGGACCCAUGUGAAGUCGAAGAACUGAGACCUGCAUCUGAGCUAAGUCUAAGCCUAAGACCUAAGGACUCAAGCCUAUAUGGACUAGAACUUGGAGGCCUGUGGCCUAAAACUCUGUGGGGGGGUUAGAACCCCAAAACUAAGGGAAAUCUGAAGAUGAGACCCCCCUAACCUUUAUACUACCCCCCCCCCCCGACGGUUCAGUACUCCCUUCUCAGAGUUCCAUUUCUGGCAGUUUCAAAGCUUGAUGUACUUUUCAAUUGUCAUUUACCAUAAAGGAACAAGCUUUUAGAUUGACAGCAUUGUGCAGGGGUCGAUCUUUAGUCUGUUUUAAAUCUGAUUUUAGCCAUUUGUUAAAGUUUUGACAUUUUAAAACUUCCCAUUUCUCUUCAUAUCUGCUCCACUUGCGAGAGAGAACAAAAUCCAGCCAGUGUUAUCUAGUGUGACUUUUGAUAUUCCCCUAGGAGCAAGCAGCCGUACUGAUGCUGUACUUCAAUCUACCCUAACUCUGCAGCCUUAGGCUGUGAGACAGGAAAGCAUCAGACGGUUAGGGGAAAACAAUUACCAGGCUAUCUAGAGAAAAUAUGAAGAUGUGCUCCAGACCAAUGAGAAGAAUUAGACGAGCAAUAUGCAAAUGUGCCAACCUGAGGAGCACCAGCCAACAUCAGCUUCCUUCUUUGGGCGUAGUUUCUGCCAUCAGUAUGACUACCGAUUAAGCAACUGUAAGAGCAUUUGAUCAUCAUCUGCUUUGGUCGCAUAAAUGAACUCUGUAAACAAAUCUAAAGACAGUGGCAUCAUCUCCCCAACCAACUGUGAACGAACUCUAUACCAAAGCACAUGGAAGACACUUGGACUUGUGGAAUGCAGAGCUUCUUUUUUUGACUCUUGGGUGUUUUAAA